rnacentral:rRNA from 1 species
AUUGAACGCUGGCGGAAUGCUUUACACAUGCAAGUCGAACGGCAGCACGGACUUCGGUCUGGUGGCGAGUGGCGAACGGGUGAGUAAUACAUCGGAACGUGCCCAGUCGUGGGGGAUAACGUAGCGAAAGCUACGCUAAUACCGCAUACGAUCUACGGAUGAAAGCGGGGGAUCGCAAGGCCUCGCGCGAUUGGAGCGGCCGAUGGCAGAUUAGGUAGUUGGUGGGGUAAAGGCUCACCAAGCCGACGAUCUGUAGCUGGUCUGAGAGGACGACCAGCCACACUGGGACUGAGACACGGCCCAGACUCCUACGGGAGGCAGCAGUGGGGAAUUUUGGACAAUGGGCGCAAGCCUGAUCCAGCCAUUCCGCGUGCAGGAUGAAGGCCCUCGGGUUGUAAACUGCUCUUGUACGGAACGAAAAGGCUCUGGUUAAUACCCGGGGCUCAAGACGGUACCGUAAGAAUAAGCACCGGCUAACUACGUGCCAGCCGCCGCCGUAAUAC